UGGCUGGUGGUGGUCGCAGAGGAGAGAGGGAAGCGACUGUUUAUUAAAAACACAGGUCCGUGCGAAAACGUGGAAGUUGAGGUAUACGGACUGACGCCUGCCCGGUGCUGGAAGGUUAAGAGGACCCGUGAGUGCAUCUUUGUGGUGUGCGAGGCGGAGAAUUGAAGCCCCAGUAAACGGCGGUGGUAACUAUAACCAUCCUAAGGUAGCGAAAUUCCUUGUCGGGUAAGUUCCGACCUGCACGAAUGGCGUAACGACUUCCCUGCUGUCUCAACCACAGGCCCGGUGAAAUUGCAGUACGAGUAAAGAUGCUCGUUUCGCGCGGCAGGACGAAAAGACCCCGGGACCUUUACUAUAGCUUGGUAUUGGUGUUUGGUCAUGCUUGUGUAGGAUAGGUGGGAGACUGUGAAGCCGCAACGCUAGUUGUGGUGGAGUCGCAGGUGAAAUACCACUCUGGUGUGAUUGGGUACCUGAACCUUGGCCCGUGAUCCGGGUUGGGGACAGUGCCUGGUGGGUAGUUUAACUGGGGCGGUUGCCUCCUAAAUGGUAACGGAGGCGCCCAAAGGUUUCCUCAGUCUGGUUGGCAAUCAGAUGGUGAGUGUAAGUGUAUAAGGGAGCUUGACUGUGACACUGACGGGUGGAGCAGGUGCGAAAGCAGGGACUAGUGAUCCGGCACCUACGUGUGGUUGUGGUGUCGCUCAACGGAUAAAAGGUACCCCGGGGAUAACAGGCUGAUCUUCCCCAAGAGUUCAUAUCGACGGGAUGGUUUGGCACCUCGAUGUCGGCUCGUCGCAUCCUGGGGCUGGAGUAGGUCCCAAGGGUUGGGCUGUUCGCCCAUUAAAGCGGCACGCGAGCUGGGUUUAGAACGUCGUGAGACAGUUCGGUCUCUAUCCGCCGCGCGCGUUGAAACUUGAAGAAGGCUGUCCCUAGUACGAGAGGACCGGGAUGGACGUACCUCUGGUAUGCCAGUUGUCACGCCAGUGGCAUGGCUGGUUAGCUACGUGCGGGAGGGAUAACCGCUGAAAGCAUCUAAGCGGGAAGCCUGUUUUGAGAUGAGGUUUCUGUUGAGGUUCCCUGUAGAUGAUGGGGUUGAUAGGCCAGGGCUGUGAGCAUGGUGACGUGUUGGAGGUGACUGGUACUAAUACACCGACACAAAAAA
rnacentral:rRNA from 1 species